GCUCUAUACCCUUUGUGACAUACCUAACCGUUGCUUCGGCGGGCAGGGGAAGCCUCUCGCGGGCCUCCCCUCCCGGCGCCGGCCCCCACCGCGGGGACGGGGCGCCCGCCGGAGGAAACCAAACUCUAUUUACACGACGUCUCUUCUGAGUGGCACAAGCAAAUAAUUAAAACUUUUAACAACGGAUCUCUUGGUUCUGGCAUCGAUGAAGAACGCAGCGAAAUGCGAUAAGUAAUGUGAAUUGCAGAAUUCAGUGAAUCAUCGAAUCUUUGAACGCACAUUGCGCUCGCCAGCAUUCUGGCGAGCAUGCCUGUUCGAGCGUCAUUUCAACCCUCAAGCACCGCUUGGUUUUGGGGCCCCACGGCACACGUGGGCCCUUAAAGGUAGUGGCGGACCCUCCCGGAGCCUCCUUUGCGUAGUAACUAACGUCUCGCACUGGGAUCCGGAGGGACUCUUGCCGUAAAACCCCCCAAUUCUUUACAGGUUGACCUCGGAUCAGGUAGGAAUACCCGCUGAACUUAAGCAUAUC
rnacentral:rRNA from 2 species